GAAUUUGCCCAUUGGUCAGGCUUAACUGUCUGAACUGGUGUGACGAGUUCCUACCUUCUGAGGAAUCUUCAUGCCAUUCAUUUGGUGCGGGGGGAAAUCAGGACUGUUACUUUGAAGAAAUUAGAGUGUUUAAAGCAGGCAUUUUUGCUUGAAUACAUUAGCAUGGAAUAAUAAAAUAGGACUUGGGUUCUAUUUUGUUGGUUUCUAGAGUCGCCGUAAUGAUUAAUAGGGAUAGUUG
rnacentral:rRNA from 1 species